rnacentral:rRNA from 1 species
GUGGGGAAUCUUGCGCAAUGGGCGAAAGCCUGACGCAGCCAUGCCGCGUGAAUGAUGAAGGUCUUAGGAUUGUAAAAUUCUUUCACCGGGGACGAUAAUGACGGUACCCGGAGAAGAAGCCCGGGCUAACUUCGUGCCAGCAGCCGCGGUAAUACGAAGGGGGCUAGCGUUGCUCGGAAUUACUGGGCGUAAAGGGCGCGUAGGCGGAUCGUUAAGUCAGGGGUGAAAUCCCAGAGCUCAACUCUGGAACUGCCCUUGAUACUGGCGAUCUUGAGUGUGAGAGAGGUAUGUGGAACUCCGAGUGUAGAGGUGAAAUUCGUAGAUAUUCGGAAGAACACCAGUGGCGAAGGCGACAUACUGGCUCAUUACUGACGCUGAGGCGCGAAAGCGUGGGGAGCAAACAGGAUUAGAAACCCGGGUAGUCC